UUAUGCUAUUGUUUGGAGAAGCAAUAUAUAUUUCUGUUCACUUUAUGCUUUAAAAGCAUACAACAUUUUGAAAAAUAUUUAAACAUUUUUUUAAAUUUAAUUUAAAUGUAGAUCUAGAUGCUCUCCCCAGUUACCUGAGAGUAGUUACCAGAAAGGGUUAAAAAUUUAACACCAGUUUCAGAUCUAGCCUUCAUUGACUGUUUAAACCUGAGAUAAUUAUACCUCUCUGCUCACAUCCUUGUGUUUGUGUAUGUGCCAUAUAUUAUAUGCUGUGCAGGAAAUAUUAGCCAUCUUCUAAAUAGUUAUAGCAAAAAUAUUUCAUUAGCACUAGAGUGUUAGCUUUGAUUUUUAAUCUACCAGUUUCAAGUAGGUGAAAAUAUCUAAGACUCUCAGCCCCCAAAACACGUUACAUUUAUGCCAUGAUUAACGUGUUAAUGGCUGGUUUGUAAAUUACUAGUUUGUAUGGUGCCUUAAGUUGAAUGUGUGGCAGGUCCCCUGAACAUCAGUUCCAUUCUUGGGACCACACUGGGGUCUCAGAUUGGUGAGUGUCACACUGGGUCUUAAUCAGCUAAUUGUUGGCUUUGGCCCUGGCCCUGGCUGUCAACUUUCUGGUGCUUCCCCUAUAUGUAGAAAGGUCUGUAAUGUCCUGUGCAAGAUUCAGAUCUCUGUUAGCCUCAUGUAAAUCUAUAUUAUUCAGGUCAGUAGAGUACCAGAGUAAAAUGGGAUCAUAAUAUCUCUGUCAGUAGUAGAAAAAUGGUUUGUUUAGACAAGGGGUCAGCAACAUGCUGCCCAUGGGCCAGAUCCAGUCUGCAGAGCCACUGGAUCCAUCCUACAGAGCUGGUGGGUCUUCGGCAGCAUUCCAGAGAUGGGGAGAGUCAGGGAGGAGCUUUGCCUGUGCUGGGGCCAGGUGAUGAGGAACUGUUCCAGGAAUGAGUGGUGGGGAGCUAUUCCUACACCACAGCCUGGGGGUGGGGGAGAAACCACUGGCAGCGUGAAGCAGACAUGACUGUAGAGUCAGAGCACUCAGCUGCCUGGACCUGAGCUGUGUUGUUCUGGCCUGUGGCUUCAAAAUGUAGCUGAAUGCUGGUCUAGACUUUAAAGUGAUAGCUAUUAAUAGAACUCUGGCCUAGUUUAAUUUCUCAUAAAGAAAGAAUAAUAAGAAAAUAGGAUUAGACAGAAUGGCUGUUUAUAUUUACACAGACACUAGAUCCAAUACUUUAUUCAGGAGAUAGCUUAUACACUGCUCAAGAGAUAUACCUACAGUCCUAUAUUUCAAGGAUAGUAUAUUAAACAAAAAAAGUUGAAAAAAAAAUCUCAGAAUAGUUCUUUGAAUCAAGUCUGUGCUGUCCUGAUGUCCUCUUUUAAUUAUGUUAUCAGACCUGAUGAAAAAUGUCUUGUAUUUGAACGCUUUUCUAACUUAUUCCAGACAUUUAGUUGAUCCAGUAAAAAAUACUAUGAUUCUUGCUCUUCACUACUCCUUGUCCUUUUUGAAACAUUGCUACAAUUUCAUUUUGUUUUUCUGACUCUGAGGAGGUCUGAAGAAGCAAUGAAGCUGUUUUAACCUUUUUUUAAAAAAUGGUAUCCAAAAGCACACCAUCUAAGAGGCAGAGUGCUAUUUCUGCCAAAGGAACCUGGAAAAUGAAGGCCAAGUGGUUGCUCUCAGAUUCCAACAACACUCCACAGUAGGGGAGAAAAUAGUGAAAUACAAAUGGAAAUCCAUUCAAAUAUUUUCUUGCUGAACAAAGGAGAAGACCAUAUUCUUCAAUCCCUGUAAACUAACGUGGUAAAACACUGGAUAACUAUCUGAACUGGCAUGUUUCAAAGUACAUAAAAUGGACAUUUCUGGCCAGCAGAAUUAAGAGCAAUAUGUGGAGGUGAAGCCUACUUUAUCUAACCAGAAGCUUCAGAAAAGAGAAGAUGAGCUACAGAGACAGCAGAAGGAAACAUUUUCUCUGACACAGAAAAAAGACAGUCUUCUGGCUGAGCUCCAAGCUUGGGAACAUCUGAUUUACCAGCUUCAGACUGAGCAGUGUAAAAUGAAAUCUGAGCUAGAAAAAUGGAGAGUUAAACUUGGACAGCUGCAGAAUGAACUGGGCACAUCCAGCAAGUUAUAUGGGCAGGCCAAACGUCAGCUGGAAGACCUAAAGACGAUUGUUCAGCAGCACAGGCAGUCUUCAGUGGACAAUCAAAAUGUACCUAUCACUGAAGUAGCCCACUGGCACGAUGCCUUUGUGACUCUUAAAUGUGAUUUCACAGAACUUGAAAAGAAGCACCUUGAAGCUUUACUAUAGCUCAGCCACAAAGUGUAUGUGACAAAAGCUCGCAGCAUAGAAAUAUCAAAAGCAACAUCCAAGUUGGAUGAUACCAAAAAGGAACUAGAGGGGGUAUGUGCUGAUCUUGUCAUGGCCAUGCAGGAGCUUGAUUUGGCAAGAGCUGAGCUUGCCUAAUAUUCUUCUGAGUCAGUGUGGAGGCGCCUGUUAUAAAUUUUCUUUCCCAUGAGGCCAUGAACUGAAUCUACUUUGCACUUGAUGCGUUCUCACAAGUUACAAGCUGGCAGACACCAGAUGGUGCUACGAAGACUCCUGUCACGAACCUGCACGUGUGCACAAACUUUAAAUUAAACUGAAGAUUGGGAGAUUUUACUGGUGAACAGUUGUCUGCCAGAUACUUUAAAGAUCAUAAAUUUUUGGUGAAGUUUCCUUUUAUUGUGGAGAGCUAGCCCUGAUAAUACUUUGAGAUUGUUUUAUCCUUUCAAACAUGGCUAAAUAAAUUCAUGUUCAAUUUAUUGCAUUAUUCCUGCGAGAAGGAGGAGCUUAACUAAAAAUAUCUCAUUUGCAUCAAAGCUGGGCAUGAGCUGAUGUUGUUUUUCCUCUCUCACUUCUCUGUCUUAAGCUGUAUCUACAGUUAUUUGAUUAUAUAAUUGGGUGGGCUAAUGUUUGGUUCAUUCUAUUCUUACAUUGCUAUUGACUCUUCACAUUGCAUGUAUAGUCACCAUAACAAUAAAAGUACAGGUAAGUAUAAUAAUUGUUCUUUAAAGUAUCCUCAUAAAGGUGUGUAUCUGUAUGUUCUUUAUUGAUAUGAAAAUGAAGGAACUGGUACUUGUUUGUCCAAGAAACUUAUUCACUUCAAAUGAGUGGGUGUGUGGUAUUUUCCGAGUCUACUCCAGAGGUGUCCUACUCUUGAGUAUGGAUUUUUUUCCCCUGAAGUGGGUGAAAUUUUCAGUUGCCUAGAUUAAAUGUACAUUGCUUGCAGUCCAAUCUCUGCACUUCAGCCCUCUUUGUAACAUUCCAGUUCAGUCAUUUUUAGACAACAGUCAGCAAUGCAUUCCCUCAAAAUGACUGAAUCCUGGUGGACCAGCAUCUCCCCUAGAUUCUGUACAACAUGGCUAAGCUAACUGAAAUUGCUUUCCAGAGAAAAAUAAGAUGCCAGAUCAGGCUGUUCCUACAGUAUUACUGAGAUUGUAUAUCUUAUUUUGGGUGAGUUUUUGAAGGUACAGAAAACAUUUCAUUCUGAUAUACUGUUUUCUAAGAAAAAACAUAUUUUAGCAGAGUAUACAAUCAAGUAUGUGGAUGUAACAUUCCAUAAGAGGGUUUUCCGGUCGAGAUUGGUGGAAUUUAUAAUAUUCCAGAAAGCAGAAAUGGAUUCACCCAUGGUAAAACAGCAUGAAUUUCAUGCUUCUAAACUGCCAGAAUGUGGGCCUUCAUUUGGAAGGAUACAGGAUACAUUUGCUAAGCACAGGACAGAGUGCCUUUAAGAAAACAUGGAAGCAAAAAUUCAGAAGAUUAAGGGAACUCCCUUUUGUCUGUUCAUUAACCCCCUUUCUCUCUGCCAUGGAUAUUAUGUGACUAAUUUUACUACAGCAAGCAGAUAUCAACUAAGCCUGUACUGUGGCUGCUAGUUGUAAAGGUCACAACAAGAUUUGUCAUAGCCAUAACAUACUUCCAAUGAGGUGACUAAAGUGGGCCUAGAGACUCCAGGUAACACAAGCUAGAGAGAUGUGCUCAUGCCACAUACUGAUGGCAAAAGGACCUCAGAGCUGCUUUGGUUUGCUGGAAGCUCAUGGAUAGUCUCUAAUUAAAUUGGACCACAAAUACAAAUGAACACAAUAUCCAUGGCACUUGGAGUGCAUAUAAAUGUUCUGGAGAUGACAGUAAUUAUUCAUAAAGUAUAGAUUGUGGGUAUUCAUCAACAUGUGGUCCUGAUUUAAACAGACAUUCAAGUAACUAUGUUUUACGUUUACAACAGGAAGAACCAUAGGAUUGCCCUCUGUGUGGAGAAUCUCUGUAAGUGUGACAGCCAGCAAUGUUC